GGAAUCUUGCGCAAUGGGCGAAAGCCUGACGCAGCGACGCCGCGUGAGUGAUGAAGGCCUUAGGGUUGUAAAGCUCUGUGGAGUGGGACGAAUAAGCUGUAGUUAAUACCUGCAGUGAUGACGGUACCUGUUUAGCAAGCACCGGCUAACCCUGUUCCAGCAGCCGCGGUAAGACAGAGGGUGCAAACGUUGUUCGGAAUUACUGGGCGUAAAGCGCGUGUAGGCUGUUGCGCAAGUCGGGUGUGAAAGCCCAGGGCUCAACCCUGGAAGUGCACUCGAAACUGCGGAACUAGAAUCUCGGAGAGGGUAGCGGAAUUCUGGGUGUAGAGGUGAAAUUCGUAGAUAUCCAGAGGAACACCGGUGGCGAAGGCGGCUACCUGGACGAGUAUUGACGCUGAGACGCGAAAGCGUGGGGAGCA
rnacentral:rRNA from 1 species